GGAAUAAAUAAAAAUAAUUAAGAAAGAAGAAAGAGCAGCCUAUUUGUACAUACGCGAUUUAUAAUUCCAACAUCACUGAAAAAAUAUUCAAAACAAACAAAUCAACUCCAACACUAAAAAUAAUCAACAAUAAUGAACGAAUCAAAGAUGGUCGAAGUUUGAACUGUUCCGGCCAGAUCUGAAAAAGAGAAAUGAAGUGAAAGAGGAAUUGUUUAUUUACCGGAGUUGUAGCUCGAUCUGAUCGGAGCUCACUAGUAACAACGAUGGAGCUCGUGGUCUGAGCGUUAGUUGGAUUUCAAGCUGGUAAACUUGCUUUCCAGAGAUGGCGUCUCAGAUGGGUUGCUACGG
rnacentral:lncRNA from 1 species